AAGUUCUACAUUUGUGUUUAUUUAUUUACUCUAGUUCGAGCUAGCUAGGAUGUAGGAAGAAAGUUACACAUUUCUGAAUCUCAACUCAAGGCCUCUCUUUACCGAUAAAUGAGAAAAUCGAGUCUAUUAACUACGCAACUAUGUCGAUCGUGUUUCAUUGGUUACGCUUAAAAAUGUACACGUAAACCAGAAAAUUUGAAAAAAAGAUUACUCAAGUCGAGUUACAAUGUCGCCGAUUAUUCAAACUGUAUCAAAUUCUCUGGGACAGAUGCGUAGGAAAGACUGGGUUUUUUCAUCCUCCGCCACCAAUGUAUGGCAUAGUAAACAAAUGUCUUUCCAUCUGUCGUAAACUCAUGCCUCGUUUUUCUUUAAUAUUAUCGUCACUCAAAAAGACAGGAGCGAGAGAAAAGAUUUAGAAUUAACUUAAUGUGGAUCACCAAUUUUUGAUUUGUUUGCUUGCUGAUGUGAUUUUUUUUUUCGGUAUGAUUUAUACACAAGCCACCAAAUAUAGGCAAAGAAAAAGCUAAGACUGCCAAGAUUCCAGUGUCAUUUCUUAGCUUUUUUUCUUGCUAGGUGGGUUGAGUGUUGUUGAGGCAGUAAGGCCAAGAAAAUCAAGAUUAAUUCAAAUAACUAGCGGUCAAAUAUCGAUGUUUCCAUUUGCCGCCAUUAUGGUUGUCGUAUGUUUUGGCUAAAUUGCGCACGGGUUUCAAGGACUGUUAUUGAACAACUCUGUGGUUCGUUGUCAGUUGGCGUGCAGGUAUUCUGGGUUAAGGGACUAACAAAGAAGGAAACUGCAUUUCUAUCUUUACCGUCUUUGAGUAGACGUAAUCAGAAGAUUGCUCUUGGAGAAAUCUCGUCCAUUUUAUUAGUGGUAGGCUGGUAGCGCGCAGUAAUUCACUUAAAAAAAAAUUUGUUUUGGAUACGGUAGGACAUUUGUAAAUAAUUUUAGAGUUCAUAGAUUGUCUUUUGUUAUGUUUUGGGUACUAAUCCAUAACCUCGAAUUUUUGAGUUGUAGGCAAAUAUUUUAAAUUUUCUUUUCGAUCGGGCCUUCCAUCGCAUGCAAAUUCAUGAUUAAUAAAUCGUGUGCAUCAUUCGUAUUCAACGGAGUUGUUCGAUCCCCUGUGACACGCGAGAUUAAGGCAAAACGCAAUAUAGAAACUUCGGAUUCAAUCCACAACAGAAAAUAAUCAAAUUUUUUUCCCAGAUUCAAUCAAAAUGGAUUCAGCAAUUCUCUUAUGAAUAACUAGUCUACUGUAAUAUUUAAACUCGGUUCUUAAAGUCAAUGUCAGGAAUGUUACCCAGUUUCCAGUUUGUGCUUCCCUGUUCCAGUUUCAAUGCCCGAUUAAUCACGAGAGUGACGGUUCUGUUCAUCGGGAUUCGCGAUUCAGAAUCAGGAUCGUGGGAUUCAUCCUAUACUCAAAUAAAGUUUUAUUAAACGGCAUCUAGUGAUUGCGAUUACAAACAAAACAUUUCUUUUCAGCUUCGUCUGCUGCACUGUACUGCACGUGCAUGAAAUCAAAAGAUCAGAUUGAGAUGGGUGUCCCUAAACUAUGGACUUGGACAGUCCAUUUUGGACUACUAAACUAUGGACUUCGAUCGAAAACUAUGGACUUCACCAGAUGGCGCUGCCUGUCCGAAACUAUGGACUUGGGGACCUAAAAUAUGGACUUUAACCUGCAGAAACUAUGGACUCCAUCAGAUGGCGUUAUAUCCGAAACACUGGACUUGGCGUCUAAAGUAUGGACUUUAAAUGUAUAAACUUGGCUUAGAUCCGAAUAUUUUCGCUUAAGUUUUAAAAGGUUAAAUGAAUAUAUCUUUUAAUUAAAUUUAAGCAAACCACAAAUUCAUUCCGAAUGGUGUAUUGCGAAUAUUAAUACACGAUUUACAAGGUA